rnacentral:lncRNA from 1 species
GUAUAGAGGUAUGGGACUGUAGGUGGAGGUAUAGAGGUAUGGGACUGCAGGUGGAGGUAUAGAGGUAUGGGACUGUAGGUGGAGGUAUAGAGGUAUGGGACUGUAGGUGGAGGUAUAGAGGUAUGGGACUGUAGGUGGAGGUAUAGAGGUAUGGGACUGUAGGUGGAGGUAUAGAGGUAUGGGACUGUAGGUGGAGGUAUAGAGGUAUGGGACUGUAGGUGGAGGUAUGGACUGUAGGUAGAGGUAUGGGACUGUAGGUGGAGGUAUAGAGGUAUGGGACUGCAGGUGGAGGUAUAGAGGUAUGGGACUGUAGGUGGUGCUAUGGGACUGUAGUGGAGGUAUAGAGGUAUGGGACUGUAGGUGGAGGUAUAGAGGUAUGGGACUGUAGGUGGAGGUAUAGAGGUAUGGGACUGUAGGUGGAGGUAUAGAGGUAUGGGACUGUAGGUGGUGGUAUGGGACUGUAGGUGGAGGUAUAGAGGUAUGGGACUGUAGGUGGAGGUAUAGAGGUGGAUUUGUAUGGGACUGUAGUUGGAGGUAUAGAGGUAUGGGACUGCAGGUGGAGGUAUAGAGGUAUGGGACUGUAGGUGGAGGUAUAGAGGUAUGGGACUGUAGGUGGAGGUAUAGAGGUAUGGG